rnacentral:rRNA from 1 species
UUCUGGCUCAGGAUGAACGCUGGCGGCGUGCCUAAUACAUGCAAGUCGAGCGAACAGAUAAGGAGCUUGCUCCUUGACGUUAGCGGCGGACGGGUGAGUAACACGUGGGUAACCUACCUAUAAGACUGGGAUAACUUCGGGAAACCGGAGCUAAUACCGGAUAACAUUUGGAACCGCAUGGUUCUAAAGUGAAAGAUGGUUUUGCUAUCACUUAUAGAUGGACCCGCGCCGUAUUAGCUAGUUGGUAAGGUAACGGCUUACCAAGGCGACGAUACGUAGCCGACCUGAGAGGGUGAUCGGCCACACUGGAACUGAGACACGGUCCAGACUCCUACGGGAGGCAGCAGUAGGGAAUCUUCCGCAAUGGGCGAAAGCCUGACGGAGCAACGCCGCGUGAAGUGAUGAAGGGUUUCGGCUCGUAAAACUCUGUUAUUAGGGAAGAACAAAUGUGUAAGUAACUGUGCACGUCUUGACGGUACCUAAUCAGAAAGCCACGGCUAACUACGUGCCAGCCGCCGC